rnacentral:rRNA from 1 species
GACGAACGCUGGCGGCGUGCCUAAUACAUGCAAGUCGAGCGCGGGAAGCGGACAGAACUCUUCGGAGGGACGUUCGUGGAACGAGCGGCGGACGGGUGAGUAACACGUAGGCAACCUGCCUGUAAGACUGGGAUAACUCGCGGAAACGCGAGCUAAUACCGGAUAAUACUUAUGAUCUCCUGAUGAUAAGUUGAAAGGCGGCUUUUGCUGUCACUUACAGAUGGGCCUGCGGCGCAUUAGCUAGUUGGUGRGGUAACGGCUCACCAAGGCGACGAUGCGUAGCCGACCUGAGAGGGUGAUCGGCCACACUGGGACUGAGACACGGCCCAGACUCCUACGGGAGGCAGCAGUAGGGAAUCUUCCGCAAUGGACGAAAGUCUGACGGAGCAACGCCGCGUGAGUGAUGAAGGUUUUCGGAUCGUAAAACUCUGUUGUCGGGGAAGAACAAGUAUGAUAGUAACUGAUCGUACCUUGACGGUACCCGACCAGAAAGCCACGGCUAACUACGUGC